UACGAAGGGUGCAAGCGUUACUCGGAAUUACUGGGCGUAAAGCGUGCGUAGGUGGUUUGUUAAGUCUGAUGUGAAAGCCCUGGGCUCAACCUGGGAAUUGCAUUGGAUACUGGCAGGCUAGAGUGCGGUAGAGGAAGGUGGAAUUCCACGUGUAGCGGUGAAAUGCGUAGAGAUGUGGAGGAACACCGAUGGCGAAGGCAGCCUUCUGGGCCAACACUGACGCUCAUGCACGAAAGCGUGGGGAGCAAACAGG
rnacentral:rRNA from 1 species